UACGUAGGGUGCAAGCGUUGUCCGGAAUUAUUGGGCGUAAAGAGCUCGUAGGCGGCUUGUCGCGUCUGUUGUGAAAGCCCGGGGCUUAACCCCGGGUCUGCAGUGGAUACGGGCAGGCGUAGAGGCAGGUAGGGGAGAACGGAAUUCCGUGGUGUAGAGGUGAAAUUCGUAGAUAUCAGGAGGAACACCGGUGGCGAAGGCGGCUUUCUGGACACUUACUGACGCUGAGACGCGAAAGCGUGGGGAGCAAACAGGG
rnacentral:rRNA from 1 species